UGUCCAACUCAAGAGA
rnacentral:misc_RNA from 1 species